rnacentral:rRNA from 1 species
GAUGAACGCUGGCGGUAUGCUUAACACAUGCAAGUCGAACGGACUCUUCGGAGUUAGUGGCGGACGGGUGAGUAACACGUGAGAAUCUGGCUUUGGGUUCGGGACAACCACUGGAAACGGUGGCUAAUACCGGAUGUGCCGAGAGGUAAAAGAGAAAUUGCCUGAAGAUGAGCUCGCGUCUGAUUAGCUAGUUGGUGAGGUAAAGGCUCACCAAGGCAGCGAUCAGUAGCUGGUCUGAGAGGAUGACCAGCCACACUGGGACUGAGACACGGCCCAGACUCCUACGGGAGGCAGCAGUGGGGAAUUUUCCGCAAUGGGCGAAAGCCUGACGGAGCAAUACCGCGUGAGGGAAGAAGGCUCUUGGGUUGUAAACCUCUUUUCUUAGGGAAGAACAAAAUGACGGUACCUAAGGAAUCAGCAUCGGCUAACUCCGUG